GAGGGGGUGGGGUGAGGAGGAUGCCAUGGGCCGAGCAGGCUCAAGCUGGCAUUUGCUUCCUAUGGCUCUCUGGCACUGGACCCCAGAUGAUGAGGGCCUCCGGGAGCUGUCGCCGUACCCCCGAACCCCCCAAGGCCUGGCCCACAGUGGGUGUCCUAAAUCCAGGGCCUGGGCAGGAAAGGGGCGUUCUGCUAGGGCCAGGAGCCAGGAGCUCUGCAUUAGUCCUCGCCACACCUGCAGACUGGCUUCUUCUGUUAAUCCUGUGUUAGUGAAAGUGAAAGUGAAGUCGCUCAGUCGUGUCCGACCCUCAUCGACCCCAUGGACUGCAGCCUUCCAGGCUCCUCCGUCCAUGGGAUUUUCCAGGCAAGAGUACUGGAGUGAGGUGAGGCCCAGAAAGGUAAAGUGACUUGCCCAGAGUCACACAGCUAUUUCUCUGUCAAGGCCACUCCUGGAAGCUCUGCUGGGCUUGGAUGCUGCUGGAGACACACGCGGAUGACAGCUUGGGAAAAGGAGGGCUACGUCCUAGCUGCGGAGUGAGCCUCUGGGAGAGCGUGCUGUGGUGUCCACGGCAGGUGAGGAGCCAAGGCCCAGAGCCACAUCCAUGAUCCUAGUGGCAGACGUGCACGGCGCUCCCAGAGGGGCCUCAAUGCACUCCCCAGGUGGCGUUACCCCUCUGUCCCUCUCCUCUGACCGAAGCUGGGCACCUCACUUCCAGCCCUCGUCAGCUCUCCCUGAUCCCCAUUCUUCAGCGGGUCUAGACUUUGUUCCCAUGCCCAGAAUUCCACCUCCAGGCAUACAGGGGGCUGGUGGGACUCCAGAUGGUGGCCAGCCAUGGGACCAAAGAGGACACCCCCCCAGUGACAGGAGCAGAAGGGCUGGAGGCAGGAAACCCCUUACCGGAGAGAAUUCAGGAUGGAGCCAGAGAAAAGCAGAGGGGAUCUUCCUGGACCAGGGAUCAAACUCAUGUCCCUUGUAUUGCACGGUGGAUUCUUAACCAGUAGACCAACAGGGA
ensembl:lncRNA